GAUGAACGCUGGCGGCGUGCUUAACACAUGCAAGUCGAACGAUGAAGCUCAGCUUGCUGGGUGGGUUAGUGGCGAACGGGUGAGUAACACGUGAGUAACCUGCCCUUAACUCUGGGAUAAGCCUGGGAAACUGGGUCUAAUACCGGAUAGGAGCGUCCACCGCACGGUGGGUGUUGGAAAGAUUUAGCGGUUUUGGAUGGACUCGCGGCCUAUCAGCUUGUUGGUGGGGUAAUGGCUCACCAAGGCGACGACGGGUAGCCGGCCUGAGAGGGUGACCGGCCACACUGGGACUGAGACACGGCCCAGACUCCUACGGGAGGCAGCAGUGGGGAAUAUUGCACAAUGGGCGCAAGCCUGAUGCAGCGACGCCGCGUGAGGGAUGACGGCCUUCGGGUUGUAAACCUCUUUCAGUAGGGAAGAAGCGAGAGUGACGGUACCUGCAGAAGAAGCACCGGCUAACUACGUG
rnacentral:rRNA from 1 species